AUGGCACACACGGAUACAUCUUCUUUGGGACCUGAAGAGAAUAGAGACAAUUCUGAGGCAGCUUCUGAGACCCCCUUCAUACUGCCAAAGAGACCCUCUCUAACGCCAGCACAGGAGCAGAAAUUGCUGGAGAAAGUAGAAGCCAUUGACUCCACAGUUCCACUUUACGGCGUGAUCCUGAACGGGUCCAAUGCUUGUCGCGGCUUACUAACAUUUGGCACGAAGUACGCGUCAAUGUAUCUCAACAAGAAUUCCGCUGCCGGAAAGAAGAGCGCGAUCAGUUUGGUGCUUCAGCUGGAGGGGGAGAGCAGGACGUGGGACACGGAGCUGCAGCGCAAGACUGAUCGCACGGCGAUUGUUAAAGGAUGA
rnacentral:rRNA from 1 species